rnacentral:rRNA from 1 species
AUGUAUAAACUUCUGGAAAACAACAUUGCAGGGUGUAACUACUGUUGAAUCUGGAACAACAAGAUACCCCUAAAAGUCAAGAUAUUCCUCUCGCAGCUGUUCGAGGAUGCUGUCUUAACUAGAGACGUCAUGAGCAGGCAUAAUUGGCAUGGGAAUUCUAAAUGUUCCUUUUGCAAUGAACACGAAACUUCCCAACACCUGUUUUUCCUCUGUCCGAUGGCCAGGGUGGUCUGGAGGACUGUCGGAGCAGUCCUGGGUACCGAACUAUGCCCUAAUAAUUUGUGGCAGUACUACUCUUAG